rnacentral:rRNA from 1 species
AGCAGCCGCGGUAAUUCCAGCUCCAAUAGCGUAUAUUAAAGUUGUUGCAGUUAAAAAGCUCGUAGUUGAAUUUCGGGGUCAGUAGAUUGGUCGUGCCACUGGUACGUACUGGUCUUACUGAUUCCUCCCUCCUGAUGAACUGUAAUGCCAUUAAUUUGGUGUUGCAGGGAAUCUGGACUGUUACUUUGAAAAAAUUGAGUGUUUAAAGCAGGCUAACGCUUGAAUACAUUAGCAUGGAAUAAUGAAAUGGACGUUGAUCCUAUUUUGUGGUUUCUAGGAUUGACGUAUGAUUAAUAGGGAUAGUUGGGGCAUUAGUAUUCAAUUGUCAGAGGUGAAAUUCUUGGAUUUAUUGAAGACUAACUACUGCGAAAG